GACAGAGGGUGCAAGCGUUGUUCGGAAUUACUGGGCGUAAAGCGCGCGUAGGCGGCUUUUUAAGUCGGGUGUGAAAUCCCAUGGCCUAACCAUGGAAGUGCAUUCGAUACUGGAAGGCUUGAGUCCUGGAGAGGGUGGUGGAAUUCCCAGUGUAGAGGUGAAAUUCGUAGAUAUUGGGAGGAACACCGGUGGCGAAGGCGACCACCUGGACAGAGACUGACGCUGAGGUGCGAAAGCGUGGGUAG
rnacentral:rRNA from 1 species